rnacentral:rRNA from 1 species
UACGUAGGGCGCUAGCGUUAUUCGGAAUUACUGGGCGUAAAGCGCUCGUAGGCGGCUUUGUACGUUAGAGGUGAAAGCCUGGAGCUCAACUCCAGAACUGCCUUUUAGACUGCAUCGCUUGAAUCCAGGAGAGGUGAGUGGAAUUCCGAGUGUAGAGGUGAAAUUCGUAGAUAUUCGGAAGAACACCAGUGGCGAAGGCGGCUCACUGGACUGGUAUUGACGCUGAGGUGCGAAAGCGUGGGGAGCAAACAGG